rnacentral:rRNA from 1 species
UACGGAGGGUGCAAGCGUUAUCCGGAUUCACUGGGUUUAAAGGGUGCGUAGGAGGGCAGGUAAGUCAGUGGUGAAAUCUCCGAGCUUAACUUGGAAACUGCCGUUGAUACUAUCUGUCUUGAAUAUUGUGGAGGUGAGCGGAAUAUGUCAUGUAGCGGUGAAAUGCUUAGAUAUGACAUAGAACACCAAUUGCGCAGGCAGCUUACUACACAGUAAUUGACACUGAGGCACGAAAGCGUGGGGAUCAAACAGG